rnacentral:rRNA from 1 species
GACGGAGGGUGCUAGCGUUGUUCGGAAUGACUGGGCGUAAAGGGCGCGUAGGCGGCCUGGUAAGUCGGGUGUGAAAGCCCGGGGCUCAACCCCGGAACGGCACCCGAUACUGCGGGUCUCGAGUCCGGGAGAGGUGAGUGGAAUUCCUAGUGUAGAGGUGAAAUUCGUAGAUAUUAGGAAGAACACCAGUGGCGAAGGCGGCUCACUGGCUCGGUACUGACGCUGAGGCGCGAAAGCGUGGGGAGCAAACAGG